rnacentral:rRNA from 1 species
CGCGUAGGCGGCUGUUUAAGUCAGAGGUGAAAGCCCGGGGCUCAACCCCGGAAUAGCCUUUGAGACUGGACGGCUUGAAUCCAGGAGAGGUGAGUGGAAUUCCGAGUGUAGAGGUGAAAUUCGUAGAUAUUCGGAGGAACACCAGUGGCGAAGGCGGCUCACUGGCUCGAUACUGACGCUGAGGUGCGAAAGCGUGGGGAGCAAACA